CCUACGGGUGGCAGCAGUCGAGAAUCAUUCACAAUGGGGGAAACCCUGAUGGUGCGACGCCGCGUGGGGGAAUGAAGGUCUUCGGAUUGUAAACCCCUGUCAUGUGGGAGCAAAUUAAAAAGAUAGUACCACAAGAGGAAGAGACGACGAACUCUGUGCCAGCAGCCGAGGUAAUACAGAGGUCGCACGCUUUGUUCGGAAUCACUGGGCGUAAAGCGUGCGUAGGCUGUUUCGUAAGUCGUGUGUGAAAGACGCGGGCUCAACCCGCGGAAGGAACAUGAUACUGCGAGACUAGAGUAAUGGAGGGGGAGCCGGAAUUCUCGGUGUAGCCGUGAAAUGCGUAGAGAUCGAGAGGAACACUCGUGGCGAAGGCGGGUUCCUGGACAUUAACUGACGCUGAGGCACGAAGGCCAGGGGAGCGAAAGGGAUUAGAUACCCGUGUAGUC
rnacentral:rRNA from 1 species